rnacentral:rRNA from 1 species
GGAYGAUGAAGAACGCAGCGAAUUGCGAUAAUUGGUGUGAAUUGCAGGACACAUCGAACGCCCAGUUUUCGAACGCACAUUGCGGCCCCGGUUGACCGUCCCGGGGCCUCGCCCGUCUGAGGGUC